GUGUCAGCCGCCGCGGUAAUACAGAGGUGGCAAGCGUUGUUCGGAAUUACUGGGCGUAAAGCGCGUGUAGGCGGCUCUUCAAGUCAGGCGUGAAAGCCCCGGGCUCAACUCGGGAACUGCGCUUGAUACUGUCGAGCUAGAGUGUGGAAGGGGCGAUUGGAAUUCCGUGUGUAGCGGUGAAAUGCGUAGAUAUACGGAGGAACACCAGAGGCGAAGGCGGAUCGCUGGGCCAACACUGACGCUGAGACGCGAAAGCUAGGGUAGCAAACGGGAUUAGAUACCCGUGUAGUCC
rnacentral:rRNA from 1 species